UAGGGAAUCUUCGGCAAUGGACGAAAGUCUGACCGAGCAACGCCGCGUGAGUGAAGAAGGUUUUCGGAUCGUAAAACUCUGUUGUUAGAGAAGAACAAGGACGUUAGUAACUGAACGUCCCCUGACGGUAUCUAACCAGAAAGCCACGGCUAACUACGUGCCAGCAGCCGCGGUAAUACGUAGGGCGCGAGCGUUGUCCGGAAUUAUUGGGCGUAAAGGGCUUGUAGGUGGCUGGUUGCGUCUGUCGUGAAAGCUCAUGGCUUAACUGUGGGGUUGCGGUGGGUACGGGCUGGCUUGAGUGCAGUAGGAGAGGCUGGAAUUCCUGGUGUAGCGGUGGAAUGCGCAGAUAUCAGGAGGAAUACCGGUGGCGAAGGCGGGUCUCUGGGCUGUUACUGACACUGAGGAGCGAAAGCAUGGGGAGCGAACAGG
rnacentral:rRNA from 1 species